rnacentral:rRNA from 1 species
GUACACGCUGUGACUAGCAUAUCAAUAAGCGGAGGAAAAGAAACUAACAAGGAUUCCCCUAGUAACGGCGAGUGAAGCGGGAAGAGCUCAAACUUGAAAUCUUAAAGGGUUUCCCUUUACGAAUUGUAGUUUAAAGAAGUGUUUUCUGUUGAGGUUUUGGUAAAAGUUCUUUGGAAUAGGACAUCAUAGAGGGUGAGAAUCCCGUAUUUGACCUUUACUUUCAACUUUGUGAUACACUUUCAAAGAGUCGGAUUGUUUGGGAAUGCAGUCCAAAAUGGGUGGUAAAUUUCAUCUAAAGCUAAAUAUUGGCGAGGAGACCGAUAGCGAACAAGUACCGUGAGGGAAAGAUGAAAAGAACUUUGAAAAGAGAGUUAAACAGUACGUGAAAUUGUCAAAAGGGAAGCGUUUGACACCAGUGUUGUUUUUCUGAAAAUCAAUUAAAGAACUGUUUAUGCUAGGCUGUUUAGACUUUAUCAGCUAACUGUUUAGUUUUGAGCUUUUCUUUAAUGCACUUUUCAGUUAACAAGUCAACAUCAAUUUCUUUUGCUGUAAAAAAGCUUGAGGAAGGUGGCUUGAGAUUCGUCUUAAGUGUUUAUAGCCUCUUGCCUAUGCAGUCGGAGAGAUUGAGGUCUGCAGCGUAGAUCCUUCGGGGCUAAAUGCAUUUGUGCUAAGUUAUAAGCAUUUUAUAGACAACUUGUUGACUAUGAUUUGUCUUGUAGCUUACUCGCUUAUGUUAUUUUACCUACGCUUAGGAUGUUGACGAGACUGUCGAUCUCA